GGUAGCUCAGUUGGAUAGAGUGUUUGGCUACGAACCAAAAGGUCGGGGGUUCGAAUCCCUUCCG
rnacentral:tRNA from 1 species